CACGUAGGGGGCAAGCGUUGUCCGGAUUUAUUGGGCGUAAAGAGCUCGUAGGUGGCUGAGUAAGUCGGAUGUUAAAUCCCCAGGCUCAACCUGGGACACCACCCGAUACUGCUCUGGCUAGAGUCCGGUAGGGGAGCGUGGAAUUCCUGGUGUAGCGGUGAAAUGCGCAGAUAUCAGGAGGAACACCAGCGGCGAAGGCGGCGCUCUGGGCCGGUGACUGACACUGAGGAGCGAAAGCGUGGGUAGCAA
rnacentral:rRNA from 1 species